GCGGCGCUGCGGGGUGCGUGUAGGACAAUUUCCCCGGGGCCUUAUCGAUCUCCUUGGGAGCUGUCCCUGGCCUCGCCCGUGGGCUUGGCCACAUGGCGCCCACCUACGUUGUAGGUUCCCGGGAUCGACGUCCCACGGCUUUCGCGGCCCGCA
rnacentral:other from 1 species